rnacentral:rRNA from 1 species
GAUGAACGCUGGCGGCGUGCCUAAUACAUGCAAGUCGAGCGAACGGACGAGAAGCUUGCUUCUCUGAUGUUAGCGGCGGACGGGUGAGUAACACGUGGAUAACCUCCCUAUCAGACUGGGAUAACUUCGGGAAACCGGAGCUUAUACCGGAUAAUAUUUUGAACCGCAUGGUUCAAUAGUGAAAGACGGUCUUCCUGUCACUUAUAGAUGCAUCCGCGCUGCAUUAGCUAGUUGGUAAGGUAACGGCUUACCAAGGCAACGAUGCAUAGCCGACCUGAGAGAGUGAUCGGCCACACUGGAGCGGAGACGCGGUCCAGACGACUAAGGGAGGCAGCAGUAGGGAACGGUCCGCAGUGGGCGAAAGCAUGACGGAGCAACGGCGCGUGAGUGGUGAAGGUCUUCGGAGCGUAAAAAUCGGUUAUGAGGGAAGAACAUAUGUGUAAAGAAAAGUACAGAAAGUGACGGUACCUAAACAGAAAGCCACGGCUAACUACGUG